UACAGAAGCCUCGAGCGUUAGGCGGAAUCACUGGGCUUAAAGCGUGUGUAGGCGGACUUCUAAGUACCUUGUGAAAUCCCACGGCUCACCCGUGGAACUGCUCGGUAUACUGGUCGUCUUGAGCCUUCUAGGGGCGAGUGGAACAAAUGGUGGAGCGGUGAAAUGCGUAGAUAUCAUUUGGAACGCCAAUGGUGAAAACAACCCGCUGGGGAAGUGCUGACGCUGAGACACGAAAGCCAGGGGAGCGAACGGG
rnacentral:rRNA from 1 species